GCGGGCGUAGCUCAAUGGUAGAGCCUCAGUCUUCCAAACUGAUGGUGCGGGUUCGAUUCCCGUCGCCCGCUC
rnacentral:tRNA from 1 species